rnacentral:siRNA from 1 species
UAAAGUGAUGGAAUGGGCCAU